AUGCGUUUGCUGAGGAAGAGAUUGUUGGGUUGGGAUAUAUAUAGUCUCAAUAGGGAAAGGAGAGAGAUGGGAUGCGUUUCAUUUAAGUGAUUAAUUAUGGGAUCUUCAAGAGGCAUUGAUAUCAUUGAGUAAGAGGAGGGAUGUGGAGAGUUACACGCCGAUUUCUUUGGAGGAUAGCUUUGACUCAUCAUUGUUGUCGUCGCAGGCGUUAUACAGAGGAGAUGGGAAGACAAUGAGUUUUGGAGGAUCUGUAGAUGUCGUGACAACUUAGGUUAGAAGAAGAGGAAAGUAAAACAAACUGGUCAUUAAAAUUAAUGUGCAUAUUACGUAGCACAGAUUCGUGGUCCAACAGCUUAACAUCCUUGAUGACAUGGACAAAUAAUUGGUUAUGAAUAUUUUGUGCUAC
rnacentral:lncRNA from 1 species